rnacentral:rRNA from 1 species
GCCGGAGGAUGAGCCCGCGUACCAUUAGCUAGUUGGCAGGGUAAUGGCCUACCAAGGCAACGAUGGUUAGCUGGUCUGAGAGGAUGGCCAGCCACACUGGAACUGAGACACGGUCCAGACUCCUACGGGAGGCAGCAGUCGAGAAUCUUCCCCAAUGGGCGAAAGCCUGAGGGAGCGACGCCGCGUGAGGGAUGAAGGCCCUUUGGGUUGUAAACCUCUGUUAGGGGGAAAGAACAGCAGUGGGAGCAAUAUGUCCAUUGCCUGACGUUACCCCCAGAGAAAGCUCCGGCCAACUCCGUGCCAGCAGCCGCGGUAAUACGGGGGAGCAAGCGUUGUCCGGAAUCAUUGGGCGUAAAGGGCGUGUAGGCGGUUUGGCAAGUCGAAUGUGAAAUCCCACGGCUCAACCGUGGAACUGCGUUCGAAACUGCCUUACUUGAGUGCGGGAGAGGUGUGCGGAAUUCCUGGUGUAGCGGUGGAAUGCGUAGAUAUCAGGAAGAACACCGGUGGCGAAGGCGGCACACUGGCCCAGCACUGACGCUGAGGCGCGAAAGCGUGGGGAGCGAACGGGAUUAGAUACCCCGGUAGUCCACGCUGUAAACUUUGGGCACUAGGUAUUGGAGGUCUCAACCCCUUCAGUGCCGUAGCUAACGCG